UGUGUGGGCAGGGGUGCCCGGGGCUGGGCAGGGCAAUGCCCGUGUGCGCGGGGGUCGCCCUCAAUCCGUGUUGUUCCCGGCAAGUGCAGCAUGGUCCGGAGCCGGUGCAGACGCCGCCCCGACAGAGCUGGUCGGCACCGCGGGGGAGACGGUCACGUUUCCUCUCGAGAUCCCGGCAGGGGAGACAUUAGAUACUGCUGUCUGGACGAUUGGCACAGAGUCUAGCAACGGCGGGACCAGGAGACCCCGCGAGUGUCCUUGUCACAGACAGACGCUAUAGGGGCCGCCUGCGUGUCCCCAACGCCGGCCUCGCACUGCACAUCACCGACCUGAGGCCGGAGGACGCGGGGUCCUACACAGUUAGAGUCAACACGGAUAAAAGUGUAUUCACCCGGUUCUUCUCACUGCGGGUCUACGAGCAGCUGUCAGAGUCCACAAUUCACUGCAAUGCCCAGAGCUGUGCAAAUGGACCCUGUAACAUCACCCUGAGCUGCUCCAUCCCCAAAGGAGGCAACAGCGUGACCUACAGCUGGAGCCCCCACAGCCCCCCAGUAUGACCGUUGAAGGAUCCAUCGUGGUUAUCUCUCCCCCAGAUCUUCUGAUAAACGUCACGUGCACAGUGCAGAACCCCGCCAGCAGCAGCUCCACGACGGCCUCUGUCAAGGCCCUUUGUGCAGCAAACACGCCUGCCCAGGCCUCAUCACUGUCCUACUGCCAGGCCAAGAAGCUCAUCCUGCUGUUGGUGUUGGGAGUGCUGAUCACCGGGACCGUGGCAGUGCACAUCAUGCCUGGCAAGCUGCUGAAACAGGAUUGAGCAGGGCCCAGCCCACUCCAGCCCUGCUCUGCUCUGGGAGGGAAGGAUAGAAAAGCUGGAGCAUGGAGGAGAAGCAGCCGGUGGGCUGUGGGGGUCCGACUCCAAGUGACAGAGACCAGUUUCUACAGCAGCACAGACACCCUGGAGGAGAAAUGCCAUCCCAUCGCUGCCUCCUACCAUGCCCAGUGGGGACAAUAGACCAUGUCCCCCAGUCUACAGGGCAGUCACUGGCUGGGCUCAGGGGCACACAGACAUGGGCAAGACACUACCCCGCUGUCCUAGGGGCAGCUGCAGCCUUGAAACAAACUUUCCCUCCUCUGCACUAUCUGUCUCUGAACCCUCAGGGUCAAUCCUCCCCCAACUACUCCUCAAGAGCCCCAUGAGUUUGCACCGUGGGUCCCAGGGCUUGUUCAGCCAUCAGCAUUGUGGGUGCCAACAUCCCUGGGAGGCAGGAUCUCCACUGGCAGGGUAAUGCCCAAGCACCCCGCCCCCCUCGCCCAUUUCCAUUUUGCAGCAAACCCAGCCCAGCCCCAUCAUGGGGGAGCUCCGAACAAACCUUGCUGCCUGUCCCUGCACUUCCUGCCCCGGCCUUGAAAGCCUGCCUCCACUGCACCCACCCCAGUGCCCGUCUUGGCCCCUGACCUGCUCCUCCAUCCAGGCAGGGCACUGCUCUCCUGCUGGGCCAAGGGGCUCAUCCUGCUGCCACCGGUCCUGGUGCCCAGGGGAAGGCUUUACAAAAGCUUGGACCCAGGAGCAGAGACCCUGCAGGGUGCUCUGUUGGGACCCAGAGGCCUUCAGGCCCGGGUUUUGAGCCUUGUGCUUAGGUUAAACUCAGUGCUUUGCUUAAAUUGUGGUCGAGACAAGCACGCAGUGCAAGGAGCAGGUGGGAAAAUACUGUCCCUGCCUGAAAACAAAUUGAGAAGCUAACUUACUUAAUUGAAUAAAUAUAGCCUGGACAAAAGAGCAAACCUACCCCUACCUAGGAAUGAAAACAUCACCUUGGAGUAGAGAAUACCAGUUAAAAGAAACUAUAUUUGACAAACACAAGCAAAAUUUUAAUAUGCAUUAUGACAGAGCUGGGCAAAAUGUGGCCCAGGGGCCGGAUGCAGCCCCCCAAGCCAUUCUAUCCAGCCUGCGGGGCCCCUAAAACAUUUAGAAACUUAAUAUUUAUCUGCCCUGGACUGACUGCCUGUUAUGCAGCCCUCGAUCGCUUGCCAAAUCUCAGUAAGCAGCUUUCUGCCCAAAAUAAUUGUCUGCCCCUGCAUUAGGAGGAAGCAUUACGUUGAUUUUCUGUAUUAAGAAAUACAAGCUAUCUGGUAUGUAAAGAAAGGAGAGGGCACGGACCCUUCUGCACCUAGUCCUGGGUGAUCUGGUCACCGAUCCAAGAUCCAGAACUCAGACGAAGGAGUCGGGAACCUUGGACAAAACCUCACAGACUGCCCAUCCAGAGACGUUGCCUCCGUUCAACCUUGGGGUGGUGAGCAUCUUUUUUUUUUUGCUUUGACCAACUACAGUUCACAGAUUAAUAAGUCCUGAAAAUGCUCCAUUUUUCCUUGAGGGUUGUAUCUGACAGGGUUCAAUAAACUUGCUUCUCAUUUAGGAAA